rnacentral:rRNA from 1 species
UACGGAGGGUGCGAGCGUUGUCCGGAAUCACUGGGCGUAAAGGGCGCGUAGGUGGCGCGGGAAGUCAACGGUGAAAGUUCGGGGCUCAACCCUGAAUCGGCCGUCGAUACUCCCGGCUCGAGCACUGUAGAGGCAGAUGGAAUUCCGGGUGUAGCGGUGGAAUGCGUAGAGAUCCGGAAGAACACCGGUGGCGAAGGCGGUCUGCUGGGCAGUUGCUGACACUGAGGCGCGACAGCGUGGGGAGCAAACAG